UUUUUUAAUGUUUGUAGUUGCGGCAUUUGGUCUUGUGGUUAACAUCAUUAUGGCUUUGGUAUUGGGUCAUGAUCACGGCCACGGCCACGGACAUGGACAUGGACAUGAUCAUGGCCACGGACAUGAUCAUCAUGGCCACAGCCAUGGUCUUUCAGUUUCUACCAGUCGUGAUGUAAAGCAUACAAAAGAUGAGCAUCAUCACACACAUGACGAUCACACUCACCAUCAUGAUGAUGAAAAACAUUCAAAAGAUGAACACCACCAUACUCAUGAAGAUCAUGCACAUCAUCAUGACCAUGACCACAAAGAUGUUAGUGAACCACUUCUUGGUGAAUCAAAAGCCAAAUCAGAGAAGAAACGAAACAUCAAUGUACACGGGGCUUAUCUCCACGUUCUUGGGGACUCU
rnacentral:lncRNA from 1 species